rnacentral:rRNA from 1 species
GCCUACGGGAGGCUGCAGUGGGGAAUAUUGGACAAUGGGCGCAAGCCUGAUCCAGCCAUGCCGCGUGAGUGAUGAAGGCCCUAGGGUUGUAAAGCUCUUUCACCGGUGAAGAUAAUGACGGUAACCGGAGAAGAAGCCCCGGCUAACUUCGUGCCAGCAGCCGCGGUAAUACGAAGGGGGCUAGCGUUGUUCGGAAUUACUGGGCGUAAAGCGCACGUAGGCGGAUUGUUAAGUUAGGGGUGAAAUCCCAGGGCUUAACCCUGGAACUGCCUCUAAUACUGGCAAUCUUGAGUUCGAGAGAGGUGAGUGGAAUUCCGAGUGUAGAGGUGAAAUUCGUAGAUAUUCGGAGGAACACCAGUGGCGAAGGCGGCUCACUGGCUCGAUACUGACGCUGAGGUGCGAAAGCGUGGGGAGCAAACAGGAUUAGAUACCCUAGUAGUCG